rnacentral:lncRNA from 1 species
AUGGAGAUGAGAAGAUGCAAGUUCCAUGAAUAUUGUUUAUUUCUCACCUGUGCAAACCAGUCCGUGAAAUUCAGCAGAUUGGAGAGGAGAUUACUGCCAGUGUGUUGCUGGCUAGAACAGAAGAAGCCAAAGAGCACAAGCCAUUUCCCGUUUUCCACAACUUCUCUCACAGCUCAGGUAACUGCUGAUGGAAAUACUGAUGGAAGGAGUGAGGACCAGGAGAACGAUACUUCUGUUGUUUUGGGUUAUGCAUUGCAGGUGAAAGUGCAUGGUCAGAGUCAGAGUGUGUGUAGAAGAAAGAAAAAAGUUUCUCUUUGUAAAGGAGCAUUUUAUCCUUGCUUACCACAUUGGAAAACAACAAAGAGAAAGAUGGCUGCAGCCACUGCGCCAAAAAGAGAGAGAGAUAGAGUGAGAGUAUAAGGGAUAUGUACAGAGUGGACAAAAUGUGGCUUUCAAAAUGUUAAUUUUGUAGGGUGGUGUGUAGGGUAGUUCUUUUUGCAUUAGAGAAUUUAACUUUUUGAAAGUUAUUACCUCUAUGCAACACCAUACUGCUGCUUCUCUUCCAGCUAGCUUAAAGAGCAGGGGUUUAUGUUCCAGGGAAGGUGUUGUGGCAUUUGAUUUGAAGCCCAUGGCUUAUUGGAAAUUGCAGUUCUGCUGCUUUUUGGCAAUUUUGGUUGAUCUUUUUUAGUAUUGUGGUUGACUGUGUAACUAAUGUGCCCUGGUUUUAGGUUCUUUGCUAUAAGGAGAGCCCAAUUCUGUAUUUCAGCAGAACAUCAUAAACUGCCUUAGGAGUCUGAUAUGCUGCUCAGAGAAUUUGAUGGGGAAUAGAACAAGAUUCUCUUAUGAUUCCUAGCACCUAAUUACUGAAUCACAAAUAAGAUUGUGACAUAAAUCUGAGUUACCAUUUUCUUGUAUGCUUUGCUCAUCUGUGCUGGUUUUUCCAAGACUUUCUCUUAACUCUUUAUGGCCCUGAGGAGCAAUCUUUUUUAGCAUCCGUUGCAUCUCGAUCAGAACUCAUAACUUAGCAGUAAUUUCCAGAAAUGUUAAUGGAAAUAUUUAGCAUAUAAGGCUCAACAGGAAUACCUUGGAGAGGUAAAAUAGACAAUUAGAAGUCUUCCAGUUCAUCCCAAAAAUUUACCUCUCACUGACCUUAUAUCUGCUUCACAUACUAAAUAAACAUAAACACAAACACA